UUGCUACAAAUUAAGACAAUUUUACGUUAGCACUUAAGCCUCCAUGGGUUCAGAUCCCCAAUGCAGUCAUCGUAUUCUUCUUUUCUUUAAAACUAGCAUGUCAAUAUUGAAGUUACCUAGUGAACCUAGAGAAUAAAGAAACUACCAGUAAAAACAGCCUAUCCAGAGCACAUAUGCUGUAUGAAAUUAAUUCAUUUAGGAAAAGCUGUUUGGCGCGCAUUCAAACAUAUAAAAACACUAGCAUGAAAUUAUUGCACUCAGAGGCCUUCCUAAUUUUACUUUAGCCCACACUCUUUGACAAUCAAGGAAAGAGCUACCCAUUACAACUCUUGGACACAACCUUCAAUGAAGAUAUCAUGAUUACUUUAAAAACCGAUUUUGGAUAAGAGAACUUUAUACAUUACAUGCAUCCCAAACAGUGAAUAUCCAUUACAGCAGCUCUCUACCUGCAUCAUUUAUCAAUGACUUGAUAGAUAUUUGGUGUUUCCUGGUUCUAACAUAAUUUUAUUUUCGAAACUCAUCCCAAUGAAUAGUAAAAUAAAUCUUAAUAAUCUUGAUAUCAUGAUUCUAACACAUGAUUUCAGAAUAAUCUUGACAUCUUUCAUGUCCAAGAGCCGAGAUAUCUUUUUCAUUGCAUUUGAGAAACACUAAAAAUUAAAAAAAAAAAAAGGAAUUAAAGG
rnacentral:misc_RNA from 1 species